rnacentral:tRNA from 1 species
ACUUAAAUAGUUUAAUUAAAAUAGUGAUUUGUGGAGUCAAAGAUAUAAUGAUUAUUUUAGGUA